rnacentral:lncRNA from 1 species
UAUUUGACAAAUUAAAUUUUCUUCAAAAACCUUUUAAAGGAAAACUUGCACAUGUAUAGCAUGCGCAUAUUCUGCAUUGGAUUAAACGAUACAUACAUAUGGAUUUCUGAUCAUCAUUGAUUUCGAAUCAAGACUGAGCUUUGAAAUAAAAGGUACAACAUAGUGAAAGUCCUGCAAAACCGUAAAGAGUACGAAAAAGACAUCCAUCUCAAUAUUUAUCAGCAAGAUUCCGUCUAUGCAUGAAGAAAACAUUCAUUCCGGUAUUUAAGAUUCCGUUUAGGCAUGAGGUUCGACAUCAAAUAAGGGAUCGUGUAAUAUAUUUAAGUAUAAAUAAAAUAAUAUUUCGCAAAAAUUGUAAUAAAAGAUUAUAAAAUAAAU